UAUAAUAAUACGGGUGUUAGAUUCAUGGGGAUCCCAUUAGUACUCGAGGAACAAGAAAGAAAACUAUCCGUUAACAGCCUAGAAAUAUCAAAUCGACAUCACAAUCCUUUUCCCUGCAGGAAAAUAGUAACGUUAAAAAACAACCCGUCUGUUACACUUCCACUUCAUUGAUUUUGAUUUACAGUACACGAAAUAAUUCCUUGAUCUUUCAAGUUCCUCUUUUCUUUGCCUGUUAAAUUCUGUAACAACACUGGAGUUCCACGGUGGAGACAAAGUAGAAGUAUGUAGCGAAGAGGAAGGAUUUCUUGGAUCAUAUUAUGCAGCGACAACGGUCAAGAACUUAGUGGAAGAGGAAGACAUGUCAAAGCAUCUGAUAGAGACACACCGCAAGCCCAGCGCUAAAACACACCGCUGGAGCACUCUGCUCAACGGCCUUAACCUGCGCACCCACCCAACACCUAAACCAUUAACUCGCCCGCUCGCCCGCUCAAACCCAGUCCUCCUCAUCUUCUUCUUCUUCAAGCCAAACCCCUUUCUAGUCGAUGGAGUGACAAUUUCUAAGAAAACUCCGCUAAUGGUGCUGCUCUUUAAUCUCUUUGAUAGAAGGCGGAUGAUUCUGUAAUUUCAGGAUGUAUAUAAAGCAGGCAUUUAACCUGCUUGCUUAGUUCUCUUCAUUGUGCAACCAACAAUAGGCAGGAGAACCAAAAUCAUAUCGGAUCUGCUGAUAUCUGUUUCAAAAGAAUAGAGACAAGCCAGGAUUAAAGUUCACCAAGAUUCCUUAAGACUUGAUUUCAACUUGUUAGUUAAUAGCAUUUGCAUAUGGCUUUAGCUGGAAUCUUGAUACUGGCAUUUUUUUUUUCAGGCAUUUAACCUGCUUGCUUAGUUCUCUUCAUUGUGCAACCAACAAUAGGCAGGAGAACCAAAAUCAUAUCGGAUCUGCUGAUAUCUGUUUCAAAAGAAUAGAGACAAGCCAGGAUUAAAGUUCACCAAGAUUCCUUAAGACUUGGUAGUGUGGGUGUUAUCGGGUAUUUUCCACCAGCAUGCUUUGAGCUCAGCAAGACCCCUUUAAUAUCAUUGAAGACGCCCUUUUGGGCAUGACCAAACUCAAGAACGAAUACUACGCGAAGACACAAUUAUAAAAGCUUGCAGGGUUGAAUUCCCUACGAAGCCUAUUAUCUCAAAUGAGGCGAAGUUGGAGAUAACAGACCUGACAAGAAUAUUUUUUUUCAUUUAGCCAUUCGUUUUGUAUUGAGUGAUCUCUUCCACAACCUAUGCAAUUAUGACAAGCAUUAACUACUCGAUGGAGGUGCAGGACAUCAAGUUUUAUCUGCUUUCAUUGAUAUUGUGUUGAUAAUUCUGACAAUGGCAUCUCGACGUUGAAGAACUCAAGCUUUCUGUGGCAAAAGAUCACAUCCAGACUGUCGAUGGCUGCUAAUUUGAGGGGUUAUGUACUGACCAAUAGUGAUGGGGAAAGGUAUAUAUAUUAUCUUGUUGUGCAGCAUAGCUCUAUUUUGUUGCCAAACAUUUAUGUUGUACUCCUAGACUUACUCUAUCAACCACAUUCUUAAUAUGAAUAAUUAAGGUAUCCUCAGUUAGUUUCGCCAAAUGUUGAAAGUGCAUAGAAUAUUUAAUCCACACAACAAGAUGUAACUCCUCUCAAGAAUACAAUAGACCAGUCAUACCAUACAUUCAUGUUAAAUAUUUUUAAUACGUCUCUUUUGGGUACUUUGUUACCUUUAAAUACUUGGAGUUUGACUGACCUUAAAAAUUUUCUUAUGAUGCUUUUCUUAGGUAAAAUGGAUGGAAGCUUUAACUUACUGUGAGACACCUAUUGCAUAAGCUUUUCUCUUAGCAUAAAUAGUGAUUAAGUAAGGAAGAAAGUCGUUAUGACGGGGGGGCUUUUAUGAUUAUCGAUGCUCAAAGUUGAAGUUUAUGAACAUAAUUAUGUAGAACAAAUCACAUUGAGGUAAGAAAUCUCAUGAUUGUGCAGUUUCCAUCACAGACUAAAAUGAGAAAACAGAGAGCUAGAGACUAAUUUCACAACUAAUCUGAAAUAACAAAAACAAAAUUUGGAAGCCCUAAUAUCCUUUGCUAAAUCUGAGAUGUUACAUGGUUCUUAAUUGUAGGGGAAGGAACUAAAUGAUGUUAACUCAUUGGCUGAAGUCAUAACACUAACUCUAAAGUGUGCUUUGAGUUGUUUUUAGAAACUUGAUUUUAAUAUUUCACUAUAAAAAUAUUUUUUUGACUAGCUGUUCUUCCAGGUGUUUCUGACAGGAUGGAUAGACUCAAUGCUGAAGUCACAACACAACUCUGAACUGUGAAUAUGCUUUAUUGUUUCUUUAUGUGAUAAAUGACUAGUCUAAGCUUCAGUUUUUUGUUCUUGUCUUUUAAUGUAUUAUUAAACUAUUAUGGCUUGUAAUCAAUGUUUUAAAUUAAUUUAUCCUGUCUGAUUUUCCAGCCGUUAUCCUUGCUGAAAUCCUAGAAGAUGAUGUUUUGGUCUUCCCCCACAUGUAUAAGAGGAGUUUGAAAGAGUUGCAUAAAAUGCUUCAUUGGUGCAAUGAGCAUUUCAACAGUUCAGCCAUGUAAACAAGGAGGCACUAGAUCAACAUGUAAAUCUCACUAGGAAACAGGAGGAACUUCAGACACGGCAAGCUGAACUUGAGGCAAGUGACAAGG